GGCCCGAGGGUUGUAAAGCACUUUCAAUUGUGAGGAAGGUAGUGUAGUUAAUACCUGCAUUGCUUGACGUUAACUUUAGAAGAAGCACCGGCUAACUCUGUGCCAGCAGCCGCGGUAAUACAGAGGGUGCAAGCGUUAUUCGGAAUUACUGGGCGUAAAGCGCGCGUAGGCGGACUAUUAAGUCAGUUGUGAAAGCCCUGGGCUCAACCUAGGAACUGCAUCUGAUACUGGUAGUCUAGAGUUUAGGAGAGGGAAGUGGAAUUCCAGGUGUAGCAGUGAAAUGCGUAGAUAUCUGGAGGAACAUCAGUGGCGAAGGCGACUUCCUGGCCUAAAACUGACGCUGAGGUGCGAAAGCAUGGGUAGCGAACGGGAUUAGAUA
rnacentral:rRNA from 1 species